GACACGAAGCGGAAGCGAGUGUAAAGGAAAUAUUGAGCACAUAAAUCCUGUUUAUCUUCGCUGUUUCCUGUGUUGACAGAUCAAUUGGAGGGACAUGCUGAAUGCCAGAAGAAAUUACAGACAACAAUAAUGCUCAGUGCAGUAACCAGACCUGAAAAAAGACACUGCUCAAGGCAAACUUUUGGGACAUAGUGCUGCAUACAUGGGCUUAUGCACAAACUGAGAUUUUGCAAGUCAACUGUCAAAGUCAUAAAGAGAGAUUGUGGACAAUUGUUGAACAGAGUUGAAGUCCUGGAAUCUCGGUCAACUGCAGAUAGCAGCAUGGCGUAAAGCAGACGUCUUGUUUCCUAGUCCAAUUUUAGUCAGGUAUGAAACUGCAGUCAACACAGGUUUUAGAGGUCUGCAAGUACAGAGUUUUAAAUUGUGAAACAAAACCUCUAACCAGAUCACAGAGUGUGUGUGUGUGUUAUGCUGUGCUGAGAUAUUGCUGUGACAUAUGGUGGAUUAAGGUCCACAACCUGAUAUGCAUAACUUGUAUUUGUAACCUUUAAUUAAUUACAUACCAAUGUACAUUUGAGUUUACACACUUCCUGAAGUAUAUGUAUUUUAGCUGUAAUAUGCCACUACACACACAUGUAUAUGUUUGAGCCUGAGAUGAACUGUACGGUAUUUUGUGUAACAACUUUGUGUCUUACAUGAUUGUAAGUACUUAUAGUAAGUAUUGUUCAUAUGUAUUUUCAGGAUGCGUUAUACUAAAUACUUUGGAGAUACUAAUAUUAAAAUAGUAAAACUACAAUUGGUUAAUUGCUUGUUGACCUUAACAAAGGAAUGAAAAGAACCCAUCCCCAUAAACACAGUUAGUUUUUACAGCCAAUCGUUAUGGCAUCCUAUAGAAACUAACAGAGUGGCAUAUACAUAUUAUAUAUUACUGUAGGUUGAAAUUAUUGUUUUGCCCAUACCAAAGUUUUAGAUAUGAGUAGAUCAUCAGUUUUUUUUUCUUCAUAUUUUUUUUUCACAAUACAGUGUUUAAACUAGAAUUGCAGACAGAGCAAAUUGUAAACAAUUCUUACAUUUAACUAAACUUCUUUCAGAAAAUUGCACUAAAGUAACACAGUGAUUAUGACUGAAUGAUAAUAAUAGGAUAUUUGUUUUCAUCUAGAGAAAUUAAAAUGAUGGUUGGAACAAUCAUUGGUCAGUUAGUUGAAGUAGUUGAGGGUGGUUCUUUACAUUAUUUGAUGGAAAAACAUGUAUAUAUGUUUUGAUUUUUUUUCAGGUAUUAUAAGAGUUGACAACUGUACAAGACAUCCUAUUGAAGAUAGUUCUGAGUGAGCAACAGCCCAAGACACCUUGUUAAUGCUGCCCUGUUAUCUACUGAGUUUCUACAUACAAGUCAAGUAUCCAUCAAAGAUUGGCCAUGGUGUUUACAGACUUUUGAAAAUUUAUUAUAAAGUUCUAAAUGGAAAUACAAUCUGA